UGAGGAAUAUUGGUCAAUGGACGCAAGUCUGAACCAGCCAAGUAGCGUGCAGGAUGACGGCCCUAUGGGUUGUAAACUGCUUUUAUAUGGGAAUAAAGUGAGGGACGUGUCCCUUAUUGCAUGUACCAUACGAAUAAGGACCGGCUAAUUCCGUGCCAGCAGCCGCGGUAAUACGGAAGGUCCAGGCGUUAUCCGGAUUUAUUGGGUUUAAAGGGAGCGUAGGCUGUUUGUUAAGCGUGUUGUGAAAUGUAAGAGCUCAACUUUUAGAUUGCAGCGCGAACUGGCAGACUUGAGUGCGCACAACGUAGGCGGAAUUCAUGGUGUAGCGGUGAAAUGCUUAGAUAUCAUGACGACCUCCGAUUGCGAAGGCAGCUUACGGGAGCGCAACUGACGCUAAAGCUCGAAGGUGCGGGUAUCGAACAGG
rnacentral:rRNA from 1 species